ACGAACGCUGGCGGCGUGCUUAACACAUGCAAGUCGAACGAUGAAGCCUAGCUUGCUGGGUGGAUUAGUGGCGAACGGGUGAGUAACACGUGAGUAACCUGCCCCUUACUCUGGGAUAAGCGCUGGAAACGGCGUCUAAUACUGGAUAUUACCUUUCAUCGCAUGGUGUUUGGUGGAAAGAUUUUUCGGUUUGGGAUGGACUCGCGGCCUAUCAGCUUGAUGGUGAGGUAGUGGCUCACCAUGGCGACGACGGGUAGCCGGCCUGAGAGGGUGACCGGCCACACUGGGACUGAGACACGGCCCAGACUCCUACGGGAGGCAGCAGUGGGGAAUAUUGCACAAUGGGCGCAAGCCUGAUGCAGCAACGCCGCGUGAGGGAUGACGGCCUUCGGGUUGUAAACCUCUUUUAGUAGGGAAGAAGCGUAAGUGACGGUACCUACAGAAAAAGCACCGGCUAACUACGUG
rnacentral:rRNA from 1 species